UCUGAUGGAGCACGCCGCGUGAGUGAAGAAGGGUUUCGGCUCGUAAAACUCUGUUGUUAGAGAAGAACAGCCGUGAGAGCAACUGCUCACGGUAUGACGGUAUCUAACCAGAAAGUCACGGCUAACUACGUGCCAGCAGCCGCGGUAAUACGUAGGUGGCAAACGUUGUCCGGAUUUAUUGGGCGUAAAGGGAGCGCAGGCGGUUUAUUAAGUCUGAUGUGAAAGCCUUCGGCUUAACCGGAGAAGUGCAUCGGAAACUGAUAAACUUGAGUGCAGAAAAGGAUAGUGGAACUUCAUGUGUAGCGGUGAAAUGCGUAGAUAUAUGAAGGAACACCAGUGGCGAAGGCGGCUAUCUGGUCUGUAACUGACGCUGAGGCUCGAAAGCAUGGGUAGCAAACAGGAUUAGAUACCCUGGUAGUCCAUGCCGUAAACGAUGAAUGCUAGGUGUUGGAAGGUUUCCGCCUUUCAGUGCCGCAGCUAACGCAUUAAGCAUUCCGCCUGGGGAGUACGACCGCAAGGUUGAAACUCAAAGGAAUUGACGGGGACCCGCACAAGCGGUGGAGCAUGUGGUUUAAUUCGAUGCUACGCGAAGAACCUUACCAGGACUUGACAUCUUCUGCCAAUCUAAGAGAUUAG
rnacentral:rRNA from 2 species